rnacentral:tRNA from 1 species
GAGGGUAGAGCUCAGUGGUAGAGCACCAGCUUAGCAUGCACAAGGUCCUGGGUUCAAUGCCCAGUGCUUCCC